AAAUACGAUAGAGGAGCGGGAUUUAUCAGUAAUCUUUUGGAGCAAGACCAUGCAGUGAAUAAAGAUGAAAGGAAAUUUCGCCGAAGUGUAUUAAUGGUAAGUUAAUAUGCUGGGCAUGCAAACAAUAUUUGUAUGACUGUCACAAUAUGUGGGGAGCUAUCUAAAGU
rnacentral:ncRNA from 1 species